rnacentral:rRNA from 1 species
UGUAAGCGUAUACCAAAGUUGUUGCAGUUAAAACGCUCGUAGUCGGAAUUUGGCAGUUCCGGAUGUGUGCACGUCGUGUGCGCACUUCGCGGGGAUUGCUUUUGUGGUCUUGCGUAGGAUGAGGCACUUUUAUUAGUGAACGUCCUCACGCAACCACUUUUUACUGUGAGAAAAUCAGAGUGCUCAAAGCAGGCAUUUGCCGUGAAUGUAUUAGCAUGGAAUAAUAGAAUAGGACUUGGUUCUAUUUUGUUGGUUUGUUGGGACUGAGUAAUGAUUAAGAGGGACAGUUGGGGGCAUUUGUAUUUCGGUGCUAGAGGUGAAAUUCUUAGAUUACCGAAAGACAAACUGCUACGAAAGCGUCUGCCAAGGAUGUUUUCAUUGA